rfam:Schistosoma mattheei strain Denwood, Zambia genome assembly, scaffold: SMTD_scaffold0004551
AUCCAGCUGAUGCGUCCCAAAUAAAACGAGAUGCGCAUCCUGGGU